rnacentral:lncRNA from 1 species
GAAAAGGGGAUCUAGCUGCGGAUUCCGAUCUCAAGUAUCUGCAUCUUAAGGCGGUGGAUAUGACGAAAAUCUAUAGAACCAAUUUUGAUAUGCAGACUGUACAGGCUCAAGUGUUUAAGAAUAUCCUGAUAGAGAUGUUGAAUACUUCCAAAUAUCAGAAAGUUGUACAGAAGGUUGGAGGAGGAGGCGCUGAAGGAGAUGAGGCUUAAUCAGUGAA